AGUGAACGCUGGCGGUAGGCCUAACACAUGCAAGUCGAACGGCAGCACAGUAAGAGCUUGCUCUUACGGGUGGCGAGUGGCGGACGGGUGAGGAAUACAUCGGAAUCUACUUUUUCGUGGGGGAUAACGUAGGGAAACUGACGCUAAUACCGCAUACGACCUACGGGUGAAAGCAGGGGAUCUUCGGACCUUGCGCGAUUGAAUGAGCGGAUGUCGGAUUAGCUAGUUGGCGGGGUAAAGGCCCACCAAGGCGACGAUCCGUAGCUGGUCUGAGAGGAUGAUCAGCCACACUGGAACUGAGACACGGUCCAGACUCCUACGGGAGGCAGCAGUGGGGAAUAUUGGACAAUGGGCGCAAGCCUGAUCCAGCCAUACCGCGUGGGUGAAGAAGGCCUUCGGGUUGUAAAGCCCUUUUGUUGGGAAAGAAAAGCAGCAGGUUAAUACCCCGCUGUUCUGACGGUACCCAAAGAAUAAGCACCGGCUAACUUCGUG
rnacentral:rRNA from 1 species